AUGAUGCGCCGGCGUCCGCGACGACGACGAACCUCCGCCGGCGAGUGCGACGAAGUCUUCAUAUGGGCUGCCACACGCUGCAACAACAAAUACAUCCGUCUUCAACAAUGGCAAUCAUCACACUAUGCCUUUUCUCUUUGCAUUUCUCAUUUCAGAGGGGAGGCCACCCAGCCAAGAGGAUACGCGCCCGUGGUGACGGCGUCAAGGAUGGGACGACGCACCGGCGCCCACGCCGAGCACGGCGAGCCACCAACACCACCUCGGCGACGACAUCCGGCCCGACGCUAUCUGCACCACCACGACAAUGUCGGAGCUGCCGACCCGCAUGCCCGGCGCCAUCUUUACCAUGCCGGCGUGCGGCCCGGAACGAUCUAUACCACCACAACAACGACGGAGCUGCCGACCUGCAGCCCGGAGUCAUCUCCACCGCGCCGGCGCGUGGUCCGACAGCGACGAAGCUGCGGGCUUACAGCCCGGCGCCACCUCCACCAUGCCGGCGUGCGGCCCGGAGCCAUCUAUACCACCACAAUGACAUCGAAGCUGCUGGCUUACAGCCCGGUGCCAUCUUCACCAUGCCGGCGUGCGGCCCGGAGCGAUCUACACCACCAUGACAGCGCGCGAGGCUGCAGGAGAGUAUCACGGCGCCAACUCCACCUCAGCGGCGACAUCGAGAGGCGGGCGGCAUCCGGCCCAACACCAUCUACACCACCACAACGGCGGCAAGGCCGCCGGCGAGUAGCAUGGCGCCAACUCCACCUUGGCGGCGACAUCGGAGAGGCCGGCGGUAUCCGGCUCGGUGCCAUCUCCAUCCUAUCGGCGUUUGGUCCAACACCAUCUACGGCACCACCACGACAUCGAAGCUGCCGACCUAUAGCCUGGCGCGGUCUUCCCCAUUCCAAGUUAAGGGCAGUGAUACAUGGCACCCAAGAACUAGGCGGUGAUAUUCACGUAGACAGGAAGAAGAAGCUUGGAUGCCAUCUCCAUAUGGUCGAUGAGACACUCGCGGCAGCGACGUAG
rnacentral:rRNA from 1 species